GAUGAAGAACGCAGCGAAAUGCGAUAAGUAAUGUGAAUUGCAGAAUUCAGUGAACCGUCGAAUCUUUGAACGCACAUUGCGCCCGGCAGUAAUCUGCCGGGCAUGCCUGUCCGAGCGUCAUUUCUACCCUCGAGCGAGUCCAGCAUCUAGGUGCUGGGCCUCGCCCGGCGUUGGAGCACUACGGGAAGCCCUGUGCUGUCCCCCGUAGGCCCCGAAAUGAAGUGGCGGUCCUGCCGCGGCGCCCCCUGCGUAGUAUAACAGCUCGCUUCGGGACCCGGUGGAGGCCUGCCGUCAAACCUAUACUCUCUAAGUUUGACCUCGGAUCAGGUAGGGUUACCUGCUGAACUUAAGCAUAUCAAUAAGCGGAGGA
rnacentral:misc_RNA from 1 species